AUUGAACGCUGGCGGCAGGCCUAACACAUGCAAGUCGAACGAGUGGCGGACGGGUGAGUAAUGUCUGGGAAACUGCCUGAUGGAGGGGGAUAACUACUGGAAACGGUAGCUAAUACCGCAUACCAUCAGCUGUGCCCAGAUGGGAUAGGCUAGUUGGUGGGGUAACGGCUACCCAAGGCGCCGAACCCUCGCUGGUCUGGGAGGAGAACCAGCCAAACUGGAACGGAGCCACGGCCCAGACUCCUACGGGAGGCAGCAGUGGGGAAUAUUGGACAAGGGUCGAAAGCCGGAUGCAGCCAUGCCGGGUGUAUGAAGAAGGCCUUCGGUUUGUAAAGUACGUUCAGCGGGGAGGCGUUACCCGCAGAAGAAGCACCGGCUAACUCCGUGCCAGCCGCCGCGGUAAUAC
rnacentral:rRNA from 1 species